AACGAACGCUGGCGGCAUGCCUAACACAUGCAAGUCGAACGAGACCUUCGAGUCUAGUGGCGCACGGGUGCGUAACGCGUGGGAACCUGCCCUUAGGUUCGGAAUAACUCCCCGAAAGGGGUGCUAAUACCGGAUAAUGUCUUCGGACCAAAGAUUUAUCGCCUUUGGAUGGGCCCGCGUUGGAUUAGCUAGUUGGUAGGGUAAAAGGCUACCAAGGCGACGAUCCAUAGCUGGUCUGAGAGGAUGAUCAGCCACACUGGGACUGAGACACGGCCCAGACUCCUACGGGAGGCAGCAGUGGGGAAUAUUGGACAAUGGGCGAAAGCCUGAUCCAGCAAUGCCGCGUGAGUGAUGAAGGCCUUAGGGUUGUAAAGCUCUUUUACCCGGGAUGAUAAUGACAGUACCGGGAGAAUAAGCUCCGGCUAACUCCGUG
rnacentral:rRNA from 1 species